AACCUUUGUUAAGAAUCAACUUUUAAUUUAAAAAAAUGUUUUUAAAAACUUUAUUCGCGAUUUAUUUCGCUCUUUUGGCAAUUUCUUUCGUAAAAUCGGAUCCUGAAGGUGAAUGUCCCAAACGAGACAAUCCAUUAAGUUUUACUUUUCUUCCUGAUGACACCUAUUGUGAUACUUUUUGGCAAUGUUUGCAUGGAACUCAUUAUAAACUCAUUUGUCCAGCAGGUUUAAUGUUCAAUGUUGAGACAAAGCUUUGUGAUUUUCCAGAAUAUGUAGAUUGUGUAGAUGAUGAUGUUAGUGAAAAUUGAAUUUGAAGUACAUCUUGAACUAGUUUUUAGUUCAAAAAAUAAUUUUGAUUGAAAAAAAAAAUGUUUUCAAGUUAUUCAAUUCAAAUCAAAUCAAUAAAAUCUGAUUGGAUCCAAA